rnacentral:lncRNA from 1 species
GGGCUAGGUUACAAGGCAGGACAAAAAAGUUAGAAAUAAAGAAAGAUAAAGGAAAUUGUAUGGUCAAAGAGUUGCAGAAGUCAAGAGGCAGCUUUGCAAAACUAUUAGAGCUCUGAGUCCUACCCAUUCAGGAAGUCGGUUGCAGAAGGACAGGAACUGGCAGCAAAGACUACUUUUGAGGAGCCUGUUAUACUACGCUAAGAAUUUCACACACCUGCCUUUAGGAAGAAGAGCACCAUCAAAGACUUAUCAAGCAGAAGAUGAAGCCAAGUGAGUGGGACAGAAACUCAAGAGUCCAAAGCUGGCACAGUGGAAAGGCAACAGACACUGAGCACAGCUUAGAGAAAAUACUAACAAAGACAAAGAAGAAAAGGGAGAGAGAAGAAAGAAGACUAAAAGAUAGGCCACAGCUUAUCAAGGACAAUGGCAAGGUGGUAUCAAGGUAUGGCUCUGGAUUAGGAUACAGAGUCACAGAGAUGGGUUCUAUUAUGGCUUGUGUCUACAUGCCACCCACCAAACCUCAAGUGGUCAUUGGUAGGGGAGGUAGCAGGAUCUAGAGUGUGUGUCGCUAGAAUUGAUUUAUAGUGCAAAGCUAUGCUCAAGGACACUAGGAUUAAGGGUUUGAGUGCUACCCACCCUAAGUCUGAAUAAAAUAAAAGGGGCAGAAAGAUGCUAUUAAGGACUCUUUUUCCUUUAAUACUGUCUGUAGGCCAUGAACUGUUGUCCCUCUGCCACCCUGCCUUGGAGCUAGCUGAUUAUGCACAGAAACCUCUACAAACUAUAAGCCAAAUAAACCUUUCCCUUUAAUUUUAGUUUGUCCCAGCAACCAGAGAAAAGUAACUAAGAUAGGUUCUUAUUUCACCCUAACAUUUUUCUGGCUUGAGAAAGUCAUUUCACUUCUCUGAGCAUCACUUUACACACCUGUAACAUGGGAAUAAUAUGAGUGGGCACUUCACAAACCUGUUGUUAGAUUGAAAAAUGGAACCAAAAUCCUUAACACAUUAUAAUUAUUCAUAUUUUAACUAAUGAAAAAUAUCCUACAAAAUAUAGCCUACACUUAUUAAUAGGCAAGCACAUGACUCCAGAGUUCAAUGUUAAGAACCAAAGAUCACCCAUGUAUCCUGCUGUUGAAC